rnacentral:misc_RNA from 1 species
UUUCCGUAGGUGAACCUGCGGAAGGAUCAUUAAAGAGUAAGGGUCUUCGGGCCUGAUCUCCAACCCUUUGUUUAACUACCAUGUUGCUUUGGCGGGCCCGUCUCACGACCGCCGGAAGUUUGGCUUCGACCAAACUUCUGGCCCGUGCCCGUCAGUGGCCCCUUCAAAUUCUUGAUCAAGUAUGAUGUCUUAGUUAAAAACUUAAUAGUUAAAACUUUCAACAACGGAUCUCUUGGUUCUG